rnacentral:misc_RNA from 1 species
CCACCACCCCCCCCCCCCCCCCACCCCCCCUCUUUUCUCCUUUUGAUCUUGCUCAAAAUUAACUCUGCAUGAUUGCACUCUAAUGAAAGAUAAUCUCUAAUAAUAAUAGUGGAGCUAGGAGUAAUGGUUGUCGAGGUUCAAAAUUGCCUAUAAUUUCUUUCAUAAAUAUUUCAAAAGUUUAUCUAUGACAUCCAUGGAUUUAAAGUUUGUUUCAAUUAUAUAUAAUGUGCGUGUGUAAUGGCAAUAACUUUCAUGAUUUCUUUAAUUUCAAGAUUUUAUGAAUAAUUAACCGUACAUCUCUUUCCUCUUAAUUAUUAGAGUAAUUAUGUUAUUAUCACUGUUUCCGAACUGUUUCAGAGCACAUAAUUUCAUAUUCAUGAUUUAAGUCUAAGCUAUUUCAUUAAGUUUCAGUAGAGCUAAUAAUAUACAGCUCCAACUUUUUUAUUGCUAUGAUGCUUUUUUUUUUUUGGCAGACUAUGA